rnacentral:rRNA from 1 species
CCUACGGGUGGCUGCAGUAGGGAAUAUUGGACAAUGGAGGAAACUCUGAUCCAGCCAUCCCGCGUGAAGGAUUAAGGUCCUAUGGAUUGUAAACUUCUUUUCUCUGAGAAUAAAAACUUCGAUUCAUCGGAGCUUGAAGGUAUCAGGGGAAUAAGCACCGGCUAACUCCGUGCCAGCAGCCGCGGUAAUACGGAGGGUGCAAGCGUUAUCCGGAUUCACUGGGUUUAAAGGGUGCGUAGGUGGUUUUGUAAGUCAGUGGUGAAAGCCUGUAGCUU